CUCCUCUCCUCCUCUCUCUGUUCAAUCUUUCUGUGUGCUGGUUCUACUGGUUCUACUGAUUCUUCUGGUUCUACUAGUGAGACGAUGCAACCGUUGGAAACUUAAAGCUGCUGAAGUAGAAGUUGGGGAUGAUGACAUCCCAGAUGACAUCACAGAUGACAUCACAUACAGUGAUAUCAAAAUAUCACAUCGCCUACAGCAGCCAAUCAGACGCAGCAGAGAGAGUGAACCAGUUGCAGUCUACUCAGCAGUGAGAGGAGCAGGAGACGUCAGUUAUGGACAAAUAGUCAUCAGACCACACAAGA